rnacentral:rRNA from 1 species
UACGUAGGGGGCAAGCGUUGUCCGGAUUUAUUGGGCGUAAAGAGCGCGCAGGCGGUAUGACAAGUCAGAUGUGAAAGAGGCCGGCUUAACCGGCAAGGGUCAUUUGAAACUGUCAGACUAGAGUGCAGCAGAGGAUAGUGGAAUUCCCGGUGUAGUGGUGAAAUGCGUAGAUAUCGGGAAGAACACCAGUGGCGAAAGCGGCUCUCUGGGGGUUUUCUGACGCUGAGGCGCGAAAGCGUGGGGAGCGAACCGG